AAAAAUGUGCAUUUUGUGACUGUACUAUUUAGUGUCAUUGUUUUAUAGAUACCAUAGUGAGAAAGGAUUCAUUUCGCAACACCUACGGCUUCCACUAGAUGUCAACGAUCUUUAUAAAGUUGUUUGAAGCGUCUAUGAUAAACAGAGAGCAAAUUAGAAUCCAAGGAAGUUGACAUGUCAUCACUUCAUUUUUUUGCGCCUGCGCAUAAAUCUGAGAAACGUGAGUUUGUCAUCAUUUUUUAUCUAGACAUAGGAUAGGUUGUGUGAAAAUAUUACUGAUGUUUAACGUUAAAAAUGGACCAAAAGAUUAAUGCUAAACAACAUUUGACAUGUUUGAACGAACAUAAAUAGAUUAUUUACUAGGUUUUUUUAGCUUUUCGGCGUGAUUUUACCAGCCCCACAACCACGUUUUGUGGGAGCAUAAUGAACGCUAAGUACUUGGUGUUAUUUGGACAUAAAUUAUGAACUUUGUCAAAAGAAACCACAUUUGUUCCGGACCUGGAAUGCCUUCCGGACCUGGGAUCCUGCCUUCUGAUGGAGAUAAUCAAAGAGUCCAAUCCCAUCAACAUUUGCAGUGGUAUCAACAUCAAGCUCAGCACCAGGAACUAGUUGCUGUGAAAAAGUAUUUGCCCCUUCCUGAUUUCUUAUUUUUUUGCACAUUUGUCACACUUAAAUGUUUCAGAUCAUCUAACAAAUUUUAAUAUUACACAAAGAUAACCCAAGUAAACACAAAAUGCAGUUUUUAAGUGAUCAUUUUAUUUAUUAAGGGAAAAAGGCUAUCUGAACCUUCAUGGCCCUAUGUGAAAAGUAAUUGCCCUCUAAACCUAAUAACUGGUUGUGCCACCCUCAGCAGCAACAACUGCAAUCAAGUGUUUGCGAUAACUAGCAAUGAGUCUUUCACAUCGCUGUGGAGGAAUUUUGGCCCACUCUUCUCUGCAGAAUUGUUUUUAAUUCAGCCACAUUGGAGGGUUUUCGAGCAUGAACCGCCGUUUUAAGGUCACGCUGCAGCAUCUCAAUCGGAUUCAAGUCCGGACUUUGACUAGGCCACUCCAAAACCUUCCUUUUGUUUUUUUAAGCCAUUCAGAGGUGGACUUGCUGGUGUGUUUUGGAUCAUUGUCCUGCUGCAGAACCCAAGUGGACUUCAGCUUGAGGUCACGAACUGAUGGCCGGACAUUCUCCUUCAGGAUUGUUUGGUAGAGAGCAGAAUUCAUGGUUCCAUCAAUCACAGCAAGUCAUCCAGGUCCUGAAGCAGCAAAGCAGCCCCAGACCAUCAUACUACCACCACCAUAUUUGACUGUUGGUAUGAUGUUCUUUGUCUGAAAUGCUGUGUUACUUUUACGCCAGAUGUAACGGGACGCACACCUUCCAAAAAGUUCAACUUUUGUCUCGUCAGCCCACAGAAUAUUUUCCCAAAAGUCUUGGCGAUCAUCAAGAUGUUUUUUGCCAAAAGUGAGAUGAGCCUUUAUGUUCUUUUUGGUCAGCAGUGGUUUUCGCCUUGGAACUCUGCCAUGGAUGCCAUUUUUUCCCAGUCUCUUUCUUAUGGUUGAGUCAUGAACACUGACCUUAACUGAGGCAAGUGAGGCCUGCAGUUCUUUAGAUGUUGUUGUGGGUACUUUUGUGACCUCUUGGAUGAGUCGUCGCUGCGCUCUUGAGGUAAUUUUGGUAGGCCGGCCACUCCUGGGAAGGUUCACCACUGUUCCAAAUUUUCUCCAUUUGUAGAUAAUGGCUCUCACCGUGGUUCGCUGGAGUCCCAAAGCUUUAGAAAUGGCUUUGUAACCCUUUCCAGACUGAUAGAUUACUUUGUUUCUCAUCUGUUCCUGAAUUUCUUUGGAUCGCGGCAUGAUGUCUUGCUUUUUGAGAUCUUUUGGCCUACCUCACUUUGUCAGACAGGUUCUAUUUAAGGGAUUUCUUGAUUCAACAGGUCUGGUAGUAAUCAGGCAUGGGUGUGGCUAGUGAUAUUGAACUCAGCUUUCCAAAAAAUGUGAUUAGCCACAGUAAAUUCAUGAUUUAACAAGGUGGGGCAAUUACUUUGUCACAUAGGGCCAUGAAGGUUCGGAUAGCUUUUUUCCCUUAAUAAAUAAAAUUAUCACUUAAAAACUGCAUUUUGUGUUUACUUGGGUUAUCUUUGUGUAAUAUUAAAAUUUGUUCGAUGAUCUGAAACAUUUAAGUGUGACAAAUGUGCAAAAAAAUAAGAAAUCAGGAAGGGGGCAAAUACUUUUUCACAGCACUAAGUCCUACAGACUAAUCCUGCUGCUGCUGCUGAUGACUUUAACACCAGCUUCAGUAGUAGAGAUCCUGUAGACCCUUUGGAUGAAAGCUUUCAGCUGGGAACAAGAUCAACAUCAUCUGACUCAGAAGAGGAAAAGACUGCACAGUGCUGGCAAGAGCCAAAGUGUAUAGUCUGAGUCCAAGGUCAUGGAGCUCAUGAAGUAGUGCCAGACAAGCUGCCAUUGCCCAACACAAGACGAGGUUCACCAGCUGAAGAACAUUGAGGACCCUGCUUGGGACAUUCAGCCAACACAACAUCCAUAUUCAGUUAGACUGAUGUUGUAGUAUAAUACUGAAUCCCUAGAAUGCUCACAACUGCAUUGUGGUAUUGAUAUGUCUAGCUCUUGUACAUGUGUAUUUAAUGGAGUUUGAUAAAAUGUUUAUAAUCUUUUGUACAAGUGUACUGACAAGUGACUAAAUGACUCCAGCUGAAUCAGAAACCAAUAAAAGUGUUAACUUCAACUCCUGGAUCAAUUCAUUGUGAUAUUCAUGAAAUGUGUUUGGAAGUAAAUACUGUAGCUACAAUCUUACUGCUAAAACAAGUAUGCAGGGAGUUGGUUUAUUAUUAACUAAUUUGUUGGCAAGUAAACAUGUUUAAAUAAAAUAGUAGAUUAGUCUGUCAAUGUAGCAAAGAAGUAGACAUGGCUUGUAGUCAAGACAAGGUUUAUUUGCUCUUGAGACUGAGGUGAGUUUACACAGCAGUAUGCAUUAACAGUAAUGAAAAUGUAUGACAUAUAUACAGUAGAAGAUAAAUAUACUUAUAACGCCUAUAAUAAAUAUUAAAGUUCUACAAAAGGAAUACUUGCAUAUGGGGUAUUUGGAGGGUGCAGUGACGUGUUCGUUAUUCACUUUGAUAUAAGGGGAGAUUGUUGUUAUGGGACCUUUCACAUCUCCUCGACUCAACUUCUUUGAAUCGAACAUACUGUCCAUUGAGUGAGGGAUAAAGUGCUCGAAUGGCCCAAACAACACACACAGACAAGGGGAUUCGGUGUACUCUAACUUCUCCCUACGUAUAACAAACUCCAAAAAUAAUCUGUAGGACACCAAGCGGUAUUGUCUGUAAGAUAAGGACAAAAAUGCUUUUAGAUUUUCAUGGGCAAUUAAUGUGUACUAUCUUUAUUCCUACUGUAGCAGCACAAUGCAGAAUAUUACACAUCUCACAGACACUCAUUAACUAGCGUUCUAGCUACAACCAGUGGUGAAAAAAAUACCACAUUUCAUACUUGAGUAAAAGUAAAAAUACCUUAAUAGAAAAUGACUCAAGUAAAAGUGAAAGUCACCCAGUAAAAUACUACUUGAGUAAUUACUUUUGAGGCUUAAAUAUAGUUAUGUGCCAAAAGUAAAGUAAUUGCUAAAAUAUACUUAAGUACCAAAAGUAGAAAGUAGAAAUCUCAUCAUUUCAAUUUCCUUAUAAUAAGCAAACCAGACGACACUAAUUUGUUUUGUAUUUUAUUUAUGGAAAGACAGGAGAAGACAUAAUUUACAAAUGAAGGAUUUGCUUUAGUGUGUGAAUUGGACCAUUUUCCUGUCCUUCUAAGCAUUCAAAAUGCAACUUUUGGGUGUCAGGGAAAAUGUAUGGAGUAAAAAGUACAUUAUUUUCUUUAGGAAUGUUUUGAAGUAAAAGUAAAAGUUGUCAAAAAAUAUAAAUAGUAAAGUACAGAUACCCCAAAAAACAACUUAAGUAGUACUUUAAAGUAUUUUUACUUAAGUACUUUACAACACUGGCUACAACACACAGGUAUAGUUACUCAAAGACUAAUAUGAGUCAUAAAGGCAGUUAUUCCUUUACUCUUUGUCAUCAUCAUCAAAACAUUUCUCUAGUUUUGCUCCUAA
rnacentral:lncRNA from 1 species